AUUGAACGCUGGCGGCAGGCCUAACACAUGCAAGUCGAACGAGUGGCGGACGGGUGAGUAAUGUAUGGGAAACUGCCCGAUGGAGGGGGAUAACUACUGGAAACGGUAGCUAAUACCGCAUACCAUCGGAUGUACCCAGAUGGGAUUAGCUAGUAGGUGGGGUAAUGGCUCACCUAGGCGACGAUCCCUAGCUGGUCUGAGAGGAUGACCUGCCAGACUGGAACUGAGAAACGGUCCAGACUGCUACGGGAGGCAGCAGAGGGGAAUAGGGGAGAAUGGGCGCAAGCCUGAUGCAGCAAUGCCGCGUGUAUGAAGAAGGCAUUCGGGUUGUAAAGUACUUUUAGCGGGGAGGCGUUACUCGCAGAAGAAGCACCGGCUAACUCCGUGCCAGCAGCCGCGGUAAUUC
rnacentral:rRNA from 1 species